rnacentral:rRNA from 1 species
UACGUAGGGUGCAAGCGUUGUCCGGAAUUAUUGGGCGUAAAGAGCUCGUAGGCGGUUUGUCGCGUCGACUGUGAAAACCCGAGGCUUAACCUCGGGCCUGCAGUCGAUACGGGCAGACUAGAGUUCGGUAGGGGAGACUGGAAUUCCUGGUGUAGCGGUGAAAUGCGCAGAUAUCAGGAGGAACACCGGUGGCGAAGGCGGGUCUCUGGGCUGAUACUGACGCUGAGGAGCGAAAGCGUGGGGAGCGAACAGG